GCUUCCAUGACCUAGUGGUUAGAGCAUCUGCCUCAGAUGUGGAAGGUCAUAGGUUCGAUCCCAGGUCGAGUCA